rnacentral:rRNA from 1 species
AACGAACGCUGGCGGCAUGCCUAACACAUGCCAGUCGAACGAGACCUUCGGGACUAGUGGCGCACGGGUGCGUAACGUGUGGGAACCUGCCCUUAGGCUCGGAAUAACUCCCCGAAAGGGGUGCUAAUACCGGAUAAUUUCUUCUGACCAAAGAUUUAUCGUCUUUGGAUGGGCCCGCGUUGGAUUAGCUAGUUGGUAGGGUAAAAGCCUACCAAGGCGACGAUCCAUAGCUGGGCUGAGAGGAUGAUCAGCCACACUGGGACUGAGACACGGCCCAGACUCCUACGGGAGGCAGCAGUGGGGAAUAUUGGACAAUGGGCGAAAGCCUGAUCCAGCAAUGCCGCGUGAGUGAUGAAGGCCUUAGGGUUGUAAAGCUCUUUUACCCGGGAUGAUAAUGACAGUACCGGGAGAAUAAGCUCCGGCUAACUCCGUG